AGUGAACGCUGGCGGUAGGCCUAACACAUGCAAGUCGAACGGCAGCACAGUAAGAGCUUGCUCUUACGGGUGGCGAGUGGCGGACGGGUGAGGAAUACAUCGGAAUCUACUUUUUCGUGGGGGAUAACGUAGGGAAACUUACGCUAAUACCGCAUACGACCUACGGGUGAAAGCAGGGGAUCUUCGGACCUUGCGCGAUUGAAUGAGCCGAUGUCGGAUUAGCUAGUUGGCGGGGUAAAGGCCCACCAAGGCGACGAUCCGUAGCUGGUCUGAGAGGAUGAACCGCCACCUGGGAACUGAGACACGGUCCCGACUCCUACGGGGGGAAGCAGUGGGGAAUAUUGGGGAAUGGGGGCAAGCCUGAUCCAGCCAUACCGCGUGGGUGAAGAAGGCCUUCGGGUUGUAAAGCCCUUUUGUUGGGAAAGAAAAGCAGCAGGUUAAUACCCCGCUGUUCUGACGGUACCCAAAGAAUAAGCACCGGCUAACUUCGUG
rnacentral:rRNA from 1 species